GUUAUAAUACACUGUGUGCUGGGAGACAGGGGACCUCCUUACACCAUAACCUUAUAGCUGCAGUUAUAAUACACUGUGUGCAGGGAGACACCAUAACCGUAUAGCUGCAGUUAUAAUACACUGUCUGUGGGGAGACACCAUAACCUUAUAGCUGCAGUUAUAAUACACUGUGUGCGGGAAGACAGGGGACCUCCUUACACCAUAACCUUAUAAACUGGAGUUACAGUAGAAUAUACCAUGAUAUAAAAUUCAUAGAUCCAAGGCCACUAGCCAGGUCUUCAGAGUCACUUGCCCCUGCAAGCCAUAGCAUUCUUUCCAGGGCAAAAUAUUCACUCUCUAAAGGUGAGUGGAAAUUGAAAGAC